GCACGAAAAAAAACAGCAAAAAUAAUCCCCGAGAGAAAGUCCAAUCGCGUCCCGAAAACCCUAGCCGCCGCUGGCCUCCCCCUACUCGUGCCGCAGACGCACACCAUCCUCUUCUCCUCCCUCCCGUCAGGGACCUGCCUCCACUCCACGAGGCAGAUCGAUCGAGACCCAUGGCCGGGGUCGCUACCGUGCCUCGCCGCGCAGUGCAUCGGGUAUCCACCUCCCAUCCCCCAUCUUCCUCCUUCAAAUUUUGGCAGCAACGACCGUGAGUGUGGCUGCUCCUCGUUCGUGCUCCGGCAGACGUCCCCUACCCACCCCCCUCCGCUGACGGUGGCCAGAACGAGGUGGGUUCAACCAGCAGAGCCCCGGGUGAGAUCGCGUGUGAGUGGACGGAGCAGGCGCUCGUGGUCGUGGUGAACCAUGGGCGCAGUCGGAGCAGAGAGUCGGGGCGUAGGAGAUGAGGAGAACGGCGUAGGCUUCAUGAUGGAAGGAGAUACGGCAGCGGACAAGGAGGAGGUCGGGGGUUACACGAAGGUACAGGUGGAUGUCAGCAACCUGCCCCCUACGACGUCGAUGGUGAGCACCCAAUAUGUACUUUGACGUUAGAAGGGAUACUUGCCCCUUUUGGCGGAUGAUGUUUUUACAAGCAUGCUACACUGAUGGGCAUUUGGAGGAGCCGGCAACGGUGGCAGUGCUUCAUUUUCAUGCCGACAAUGGAAGUAUGGACCAACAAGAAAUAUCGAGUUGAAAAUUCCGUUCGAACAUGCAGAUUGGCAUACUUGCUGAGAAGGUUACAACUGUAGAAGGAAGCAGUUGAGAAGAGAAGCACUUAGGGGAUGAUGUCGAUCUUGCACAUUCAGCUUUAUGCUGCUGAAUACUGUCGUAGGAAGGAAUCAGUGCUGAGGUGAUCAACAUUCGAUCAGUUAGGACACUGGAUAGAGCUGCGAUAAAAGCAUAUGUUACGAAAAUAAAUAGGUUGGUGAUUCUUUAAGAAGGCUCCCCCCAACAUCGUGUUGGUGCUGAGAUAUGGUUUUCUCUCUCUCUCUCUCUCCACACACAUCCCAACCCUCUUCCAAUUAUUCAUUCGAAUUAUUGUACAGAAUCUACAAUUAUAAGAAAGAAGAAUUUGAUAAAUUAGAGAGAGAUAUGCUUUCAUAAAUUUCUCACCCCUGAAGGUUACAAAUUCAAGUGCUGGGUUCGAAGGAUGAAGCAAAUCCCAAGUCACAUGUUAAUAUAUCUUGAUGCACAUUUGUAUUUACUUUUGCAUAUUGUUUACUUUAUCCUCGCUGCAUCGGCCUUGCAUAUGGCCAUUGGGUACUGAUCCCCUCCAUGUCUUUGGUGAGCCCCCAUAGCUCUAGGUCUUUUGAUUUUGUUUAGUUUGUUAGAUUUAUGAAGAGCUCUUCUAUUCCAAAUUGAGAAACCUAUGCUUCUUUCCUAUGUUGGUCCAAAAGGCCAUUUGUUUGAUAGCAGUUUGAUAUCAGCAAAGUUUUUAGCCAAAACUGCUUUUGAUUCGGUUCAGUUUGUGUUGUAGAUAUUUGAUCGGUAAUUUUGUAUCUUUACGUGCCCAGGUACAUUCUGAAGGAGAAGAUUGCUGGUCGAGAAGGCCAUUUAUCUAAUAUUAGUUUAUUGAAGAAAUUGCCCAUGAUGUAUUUUCAGUACAUUAGGAUUUUUUGUAGUCGCAUGGUUCUGAUAGGAAGAUACCGUUGCUACCAGGUCAACAAUCUCCCCUUCAAUAAUAUUUGAUUUACAUUUUGUAUGCCAUUCAUCGAAUCAAUGUGGAUUACAAUGACCACUCAUAUGUUUUGAUUGCAGUACUUCUCUAUGCUAUUUCACUAUUUUGGACUCAUGUUCUUUUCAUUGUGAUGUAGUAAUAAGUGAAAUAAAUUGAGUCUAAUUCUUUGUGUGGACAUAGGCGUUUCAAAGAAAUAUAUGGCUUGUUUUAUUUUUGGCCCUUUCUUCCCGGCCACUGGAUAUGCACUUAAGUUCCCCAACCAGAAGCAUCUCCCUGUCCAUGUAACCAAUAAUAUUUUGGAAGUAGAAUGUACUCAGGAUCAUAAUGGAAAAUUUUGUUUUUCUGAAAACCAUGUCCCACUGUACAUGGCACGAGAGUUUGAGCAGAAACCUGGGGUUAGCUCCUUGCCUACUCCAGGAAUUGUGCACUCGAACUAUUUGAGCAGGGUUUUUUCUGUCUUUUGGAUAGCAUCUUGCAGCCAACAUUUCUGAACUCCAGCAUUGGUAUCAUUAAGCAUUUUAGUUCUACCCCAUAUGGAUAUUAGUUAACUUUAUGUUCUUAUGACGUAAGUACAUGCGAAUUGUUCCGUUCCUUCUGGAAUCAAAUAUUUUUGGAUGUCCGAAAGCACUUCUGGUGGAUCAGAAAAUUGUGUUUUUCUCAGCAUCUUAGUUUUUCUCUAUGGAAGUAUUUAAAACAGUCAUCAUUCUUUCAAGAAUGUUACCAAUACAAGACUGUUUUUGUGUUCCGAAUUAUGCGUAAAUGCCCAAGGGCAGUGGACCAAAGUCAACAACAUAAGUUGUUUGGCAAAUGUGUCUUAGUUCCCUUUCAGACUCUUCUAUAACAUCAUCUCUUUUAAAAAAGAUCUUUUCUAUAUCAGUGCACUGUAAAUAUAGAAAUGUUGGUUUAAUCGAGUGUGUGAUUGUCGGUUACCAUGAAGGAAAUCACUGUAAGAUUUGAGAGAUGCAAGGCUAACGUAAAAGCAGUAAGAGUCUUUGAGAUGCCAAAACUUCUCUCAUACAUGUAUUUUGUGUACAUGUAAAUCUUGAUCUUCCAGCAACAUUGACAGCAGGAUAAUUCUCUUUCUUUUAGUUGACCACAACAUGUGAUGAGGGCCCAUUUGGAAUGCAACUAAUGUCAAGUGCACCAUCAUCUUAAGCAUUAUUUACUCAUGUUGUCACUGAUUGCAUAUACAAUACCAUCAGAAGCAUCCAUUAAAAAUGUGUCCUUAGAAGCAUCCAUUCAAAAAAGUGCUGAAGAACUAUAGAAGGCUGGGUGUUGGCUGAUGUUGUUUCGGUUACUAUUCCUUGUGAUUCUAAGUUAUUUGCAACAUAGUAAAUACUUAGUAUACCAGUCAUAUUUUCUUGUCAACAUGCACCUGAGGCUUAUCCGGUAUUAUUGCAAUCUGGUAGAACUGUGUUACUACUAAGAAUUGAAUAUUUUUAGUUGGAAUACUAUUUUAAUGAUCAAUCACAAUGUUGGACGCGACCACCUACUUAUUCCCGAGACUAAGUCUUUGGUGGCUUAAGCACAAUAUGCCCGGCAUAUGUUCUACAUCUGCGGCAUGUAAUGAUCCUACUGGCAUUUCAAGAGGUCUUGUAAAUACAACACUCUUCCAAAGUAUUUCCAAGUCUGGACGGUUAUUGAGCCUGCAUUGAUGAAAUAGUUGACAAAGAAGGAACUGAAAUGAGGUUACUGAGCCUGCAUUGAAGAAUUUUGGUUGAUGAGCUGAUAUCUGACCAAAAACUCAAGAACUAGAAGCAAGCCUGACAUCCUUUUUCUAUAAUCGGUAAAUCUGAACCUGCUCAGACCAUGGGGAGGAUUUCUCUGGUGGACUAUCGCUGGCAAGGUUGGCAUGGGAGUAGGCCCGUACCAUGGGUUCGUGUGGCUGGAGGACCGUGGCCAGUGCUGCGAUUGCCUGGUGUCCAUGUGGGGCAUAGCUCGGCAUUAGGUGAUAUCCUUCUAUGAUAACCUAGCUGUACACAAUUUCUUCAAAGAAAAUUAAGAUUGAUAUCAAAGUUGAGAUUUGCAAUGUAUUUAAAUUAGUUCUUAAAUUGCUCCCAAAGCUACUAAAAUUUCCCUUAUUAUAUUUUUCUGUAGAUACUGAUUGUUCUAAAUUAAACCCACUACUUAAAUUCCAUACAAAUGUGAGGCUCAAGGAAGCAACAAGUAGGAUGAAGGAGUUAGCGGGCAGAAGCAUAGAUCACAGAAAAACAAGAAUAUGUUUGCUCCCCAUGCUUUGCAUUGAUGUAUAGGUUCGGAAGUUUAAAAGCUUCAUGCGCUCCCCAUGCUUUGUAUUGAUGUAUAGGUACGGAAUUUAGAAGCUUCAUGCUUUGUAUCUCAGUAUGUUCACAGUGGCUUCAAUCUACAAUUUAAAAAGGUGAAUAUUGGCUGGAUAAUGACACAAGUGAUGCGGCUUCAGUCAUGUUUCUUAAGCUACCGUGGUUAUAUCAUCACUAGGCCAUAUAGUUUACCACUAACCUUCUUAAGUACUUCCACUUAACCAUCAUGAUUGCCGACUAAUUUGUGUGUUCAUGGUUAUAUUUCAGAGAACCGGUUCAGAUAAAUGCGAACACUGGUUGGGGGUUCUAAGAAGGAUGACCCAAAAUGGGAGCAUGACAGACACCAUGGUCCAGGAAAUAAGGGGGAAUCCCGUGGUGUCUACUAUGCUUUCAGAAAUCCUAUGCAGUCAGGGAGAUUCCUUCAGAUUUUUGCAUGAUGAGCAGGUAGCUGUAAAGGGUCGUGGUGUCUACUAUGCUUUUCAGAAAGGAUUUACUAUAUUUUUGCAGCAGGCUACAUGCUUCUCUGAAUGACCAUUUAAGGAGUGAACAUGAACUGCUGAUGUAUAUGUUCCAUGCUCCAUGGGGAGGGAACAAGGAUUGAUUUUCGCGGGGAGUAGGGAGAGUAUGGUGAGUUACUUCUAUAGUGCUAUGGUUCACAUACUGUAAGUUGGUGAUCUGUGAAAUAUCUUUGUUGUUGCUUUAAGGGGCUUCUAGAACUACUUGAUUGUGAAACAAGUCACUAGGUACUGCUCAGAUGAAUUAUAUGGAUGGUACCACCGUCCAACCUGUAGAAACUCCUAUCCCUAAAUUUCUAUUUAUUGGAACCAUUAGAUUUAUUAGUAUUUUAUAGUCAUUAUGUUUCUAUA